GUGUCAGCAGCCGCGGUAAUACGGAGGGCGCAAGCGUUGUUCGGAAUCACUGGGCGUAAAGCGCGUGUAGGCGGCCGAUCAAGUCGGGUGUGAAAUCCCGAGGCUCAACCUCGGAACUGCACUCGAAACUGGUCGGCUUGAGUCCCGGAGAGGAUGGCGGAAUUCCCGGUGUAGGGGUGAAAUCCGUAGAUAUCGGGAGGAACACCAGUGGCGAAGGCGGCCAUCUGGACGGUGACUGACGCUGAGACGCGAAAGCGUGGGGAGCAAACAGGAUUAGAAACCCUGGUAGUCC
rnacentral:rRNA from 1 species